UACGUAGGGGGCGAGCGUUGUCCGGAAUCAUUGGGCGUAAAGAGCUCGUAGGCGGCCUGUUGCGUCCGCUGUGAAAGCCCGGGGCUUAACCCCGGGUCUGCAGUGGAUACGGGCAGGCUAGAGGUAGGUAGGGGAGAAUGGAAUUCCCGGUGUAGCGGUGAAAUGCGCAGAUAUCGGGAGGAACACCGGUGGCGAAGGCGGUUCUCUGGGCCUUACCUGACGCUGAGGAGCGAAAGCCAGGGGAGCGAACGGG
rnacentral:rRNA from 1 species